CACGUGGGUAACCUGCCCAAGAGAUCGGGAUAACACCUGGAAACAGAUGCUAAUACCGGAUAACAACAGAUGAUGCCUAUCAACUGUUUAAAAGAUGGUUCUGCUAUCACUCUUGGAUGGACCUGCGGUGCAUUAGCUAGUUGGUAGGGUAACGGCCUACCAAGGCGAUGAUGCAUAGCCGAGUUGAGAGACCGAUCGGCCACAUUGGGACUGAGACACGGCCCAAACUCCUACGGGAGGCAGCAGCC
rnacentral:rRNA from 1 species